GGACAUAAUUCUGCUGAAGAGGAACCCACAGAAAUCACAUACUCCAUUAUUCAAUUAAAAGAACUCAGAAAAAAGAGCAGACCUCGUGAACCAGAGGAUGUCGUUAUUUACUCUGAAGUGAAACUGGGAGUUGAAGAUCCUGCUCCAUUGUAUGCUGAAAUCAACCAUCAGAAUAAAGCCAAUAACAAGGAGAAAGCCAAGAAGAGCCCUGCAGCAACAGAAGAAACUAUUUAUUCUGAAAUCAAAUCACAAACACCUCUGGAUAAUAAAUCUGCCAUGUAGACUGAAAAAUGUGCUGGUUGAUCUAUAUUGUUGUGCUUCAGUUAAUUUAUGAAAGUCUUCUUUUAACUAUUGCAUAUGACAUUGUUCAAUUUAAAAGAAAAUCACAAUGAUCUGAUAUGCUUAGAAGUUUAUAUAAAAUAUAGACUUUAUGUGGGAUCUUUAAGCCCUUUACAUUCAAGCUUUGUGCUUUUAGUACUUAUGAGUAUGAUUUAUAACUACAAGUAAAUAAUCCAAAAUUUAGCAUGGAGAAGUUUGUUAUUGGUGAACUUUCAUACUUUGAACUGUGAUACACAUUUUCA